AUCGCUUCUCGGCCUUUUGGCUCAGAUCAAGUGUAGUAUCUGUUCUUAUCAGUUUAAUAUCUGAUACGUCCCCCAUCGGGGGACUACAUAUUAAAUGGAUUUUUCGAACAGGGAGUCGGAAAUGGGGCUUG
rnacentral:snRNA from 8 species